rnacentral:rRNA from 1 species
UACGUAGGUGGCAAGCGUUGUCCGGAUUUACUGGGCGUAAAGAGCGCGCAGGCGGUCGUUCAAGUCGCGUGUGAAAGCCCCCGGCUCAACUGGGGAGGGUCACGCGAUACUGUUCGACUCGAAGGCAGGAGAGGGAAGCAGAAUUCCCGGUGUAGUGGUGAAAUGCGUAGAUAUCGGGAGGAAUACCAGUGGCGAAGGCGGCUUCCUGGCCUGUUCUUGACGCUGAGGCACGAAGGCCAGGGGAGCAAACGGG